GUCUAUGGCCAUACCACCCUGAACACGCCCGAUCUCGUCUGAUCUCGGAAGCUAAGCAGGGUCAGGCCUGGUUAGUACUUGGAUGGCAGAAAGCAAGACACGAGAACU
rnacentral:rRNA from 1 species